UACGUGGGAGGGCAAGCGUUGUCCGGAAUCAUUGGGCGUAAAGAGCGUGUAGGCGGCCAGAUAAGUCCGCUGUGAAAACUCGAGGCUCAACCUCGAGACGUCGGUUGAAACCGUAAGGCUAGAGUCCGGAAGAGGAGAGUGGAAUUCCCGGUGUAGCGGUGAAAUGCGCAGAUAUCGGGAAGAACACCCGUGGCGAAGGCGGCUCUCUGGGACGGUACUGACGCUGAGACGCGAAAGCGUGGGGAGCGAACAGG
rnacentral:rRNA from 1 species